rnacentral:rRNA from 1 species
UACAGAGGUCCCAAGCGUUGUUCGGAAUUACUGGGCGUAAAGGGCUCGUAGGCGGCCAACUAAGUCCGACGUGAAAUCCCCAGGCUCAACCCAGGAACUGCGUCCGAUACUGGUUGGCUUGAAUCCGGGAGAGGGAUGUGGAAUUCCAGGUGUAGCGGUGAAAUGCGUAGAUAUCUGGAGGAACACCGGUGGCGAAGGCGACAUCCUGGACCGGUAUUGACGCUGAGGCGCGAAAGCCAGGGGAGCAAACGGG